rnacentral:piRNA from 1 species
UGGUUUCCCAGCUGAUUGCUAACUUGUUC